CUUUAAAUUGAUUAAAUAUUUUUUUAAAAAAAUUUUUCCAACAAUAAAAAAUUUCUAUUAUUCCAUGAACUUUUGGUGAAGUUUCACUUUACUUCCAAAACUCAUAAAAUGAAUAUUUAAUACCUUAAAAUCUAAUAUUUUAUUUAUAUUAUCCCUUCCGUUAUUAUUCGAUUGACGAAGUUUGAUAGAAAACUAUCGGAAGAGAUAACAUGAACGAAACAUUAGACUUUCUAAGGGUGUUAGAUGCCUAUU
rnacentral:lncRNA from 1 species